rnacentral:lncRNA from 1 species
GGUUUAUGGAAGUGGAUGCACAAGCAGUAUUCCCGCUUAGUACUGGUGAAGGCUAGCAAAAGACUGGGAAGCGACCAACUAGAGAGCGACAACAGUCAUCAAUAUGCAUUCAAAUUAAACAACAUUGAGUGCAAGCAUGAGUAGGAUAUAAAUCACCAUGAACAUGAAUAUCAUAGAGGCUAUGUUGAUUUUGUUUCAACUACAUGCUUGAACAUGUGCCAAGUCAAGCCACUUGAAUCACUCCAAGGAGGAUACCAUCCUAUCAUACUACAUCAUAAUCAUCCUAGAAUUCAUGUUGGCAUCCAAGACAAACCAUUAUAAUCUCCUAGCUAAUUAAGCAUGGCAUCAGAAACUAUGAUCUCUAAGUUGUCAUUGCAAAAGAAGAAAGGGAAAAUCUUUUUGGGUUGUCUUUUUAAAACACCACUA